rnacentral:rRNA from 1 species
UAGGCUGUGGAAACAUAGAUUAAUACCCCAUAAGACAUUAAAGUCACAUGACAUAGAUGUUAAAGCUCCGGUGGCUAUAGAUGAGCAUGCGUCUGAUUAGUUAGUUGGUGAGGUAACGGCUCACCAAGGCUACGAUCAGUAGCGGGUUUGAGAGGAUGAUCCGCCACACUGGCACUGAGAUACGGGCCAGACUCCUACGGGAGGCAGCAGUAGGGAAUAUUGGUCAAUGGGCGCAAGCCUGAACCAGCCAUGCCGCGUGCAGGAAGAAGGCCUUCUGGGUUGUAAACUGCUUUUAUACAGGAAGAAAAAGCACUUGCGGGUGCAAUUGACGGUACUGUAAGAAUAAGCACUGGCUAACUCCGUGCCAGCAGCCGCGGUAAUACGGAGGGUGCAAGCGUUGUCCGGAUUUAUUGGGUUUAAAGGGUGUGUAGGCGGUGUAUUAAGUCAGUGGUGAAAGCCUGCGGCUCAACCGUAGAAUUGCCAUUGAAACUGACACACUUGAGUACGGACGAGGUAGGCGGGAAUUUAUGGUGUAGCGGUGAAAUGCAUANAUACCAUAAA